rnacentral:rRNA from 1 species
UACGGGGGGUGCGAGCGUUGUCCGGAAUCACUGGGCGUAAAGGGCGCGUAGGUGGUUUGAUAAGGGUGUGGUGAAAGUCCGGGGCUCAACCCCGGAUCUGCCGUGCCGACUGUCAAACUCGAGGGCUGUAGAGGCAGACGGAAUUCCGGGUGUAGCGGUGGAAUGCGUAGAUAUCUGGAGGAACAUCGGUGGCGAAGGCGGCAUCCUGGACCGGUAUUGACGCUGAGGCGCGAAAGCCAGGGGAGCAAACGGG